rfam:Loxodonta africana unplaced genomic scaffold scaffold_13, whole genome shotgun sequence.
CCAUUGGUGGUUCAGUGGUAGAAUUCUCACCUUUCGUGUGGGAGACCCAGGUUUGGUUCCCAGCCAAUGAA